GUCUAUAACAUAUAGUUUGGAAAUUUUCAUAUACACAUCAUUACAUGUAGCAAUUAUCUCAAAUUACAGAGGACACUCUAAGAUGUUAAACAAUCUACCAAAAUUUACAUUAGCAAAAUGUGGAAUCAAAUUUUGAAAAUCAAAUCUCUUGACUCUAUAACCAGUAUCCUUACCAGUAUCUCAUUAUUUGGUUCAAAGAGAUGCCUUACUUCUAAAAUUAUUCUAUAUAGACCGGAUCAUUUUUUUUUAUUCUUACAUACCUCAUAUUGUGCCUAUCACUACAUUCAAAAAUACAUUUUAAAAAGUUCUUGAAAUAAAUGCUCUAAAUUGGAAUGUCAAAACAUGAAUAUUUUACAUGUGCCUGGGUGAUUUCCUUUAAGUUAACCCCAUAAUACACCUUUUUUAAUGCAUCUAAUUCUAACAUUAAAUUUAGUGUAGUCUAUUAUGUCCACCAUCCAACUUCCAUUUACCUUAAGAAUCUAAGAUUCAAAAUAAUGUAUAUGGCAACUAGGCUAAUUCUUAAUUCUUUUG
rnacentral:lncRNA from 1 species